rnacentral:ncRNA from 2 species
CUAUUUUUGUCACAUCAAGGUUCGCAAGGAGGCCGGUGGAGCCUCCGCGCGAUGAAAAGGGAAUGCCGUGAGAAUCGGCAGCAGUUCCCGCUGCUGUAAGUCCCUCAAUCGUACCGCGACACGUCUCAAGCCACUGAUUCCUUGAUGGAAUUGGGAAGGCGUUGCGGUCGGGACAAGCCAGAAGACCUGCCUUGAGCCUUCCCCCGGG